AUUGAACGCUGGCGGCAGGCCUAACACAUGCAAGUCGAGCGGAUGAAGGGAGCUUGCUCCUGGAUUCAGCGGCGGACGGGUGAGUAAUUCCUAGGAAUCUGCCUGGUAUUUGGGGAUAACGUCCGUACACGGGCGCUAAUACCGCAUACGUCCUGAGGGAGAAAGUGGGGGAUCUUCGGACCUCACGCUAUCAGAUGAGCCUAGGUCGGAUUAGCUAGUUGGUGGGGUAAAGGCCUACCAAGGCGACGAUCCGUAACUGGUCUGAGAGGAUGAUCAGUCACACUGGAACUGAGACACGGUCCAGACUCCUACGGGAGGCAGCAGUGGGGAAUAUUGGACAAUGGGCGAAAGCCUGAUCCAGCAAUGCCGCGUGUGUGAAGAAGGUCUUCGGAUUGUAAAGCACUUUAAGUUGGGAGGAAGAGCAGUAAGUUAAUACCUUGCUGUUUUGACGGUACCAAAAGAAUAAGCACCGGCUAACUUCGUG
rnacentral:rRNA from 1 species